UUAAGUUGGAUUUAAAUUAGUCUAAUUGGAUCUAACUUAUUUGGUUCAAUUAGGUUGGUUUAAAUAAUUAAACCACCUUGACCCAAUCUCCAUGCGCCACCUCACUUCCAUUGCACCCAUUUGGAUUCAUGAGAAGGAACUUCUCAUGAAUUUUUUUCUCAUGCCAAGUCCUCUCCAUGCCCCACUUUAAUGUGCCAAAUGGAUGGAUAAGGAUGAUUGGUUGGCCAUUCAAAUUCAAAAUAAAGUUUGAAUUUGAAUGGGCAAUCAAUCUUUGCACCUUAUCCCUUUUUUUUACGUCCUAUUUAUUACAUGAAAAAAAGUUUCUCAUGAAAUCACUCCAUGCAUAAUUUAAGCCACACC
rnacentral:lncRNA from 1 species